UAGGGAAUAUUGCAAAAUGGGCGAAAGCCCGAUGCAGCAACGCCGCGUGGGCGAUGAAGGCCUUCGGGUCGUAAAGCCCUUUUUGAGGGGAUGAGGAAGGACAGUACCCUCAGAAUAAGCCUCGGCUAACUACGUGCCAGCAGCCGCGGUAAAACGUAGGAGGCGAGCGUUAUCCGGAUUUACUGGGCGUAAAGCGCGUGCAGGCGGAUUGGAGAGUUGGAUGUGGAAGCUCCCGGCUUAACUGGGAGAGGUCGUUCAAUACUUCCAGUCUUGAGUGCAGUAGAGGGAAGUGGAAUUCCGGGUGUAGUGGUGAAAUGCGUAGAUAUCCGGCGGAACACCGGUGGCGAAGGCGGCCACCUUGACAGGUACUGACGCUGAGGCGCGAAAGCGUGGGGAGCAAACA
rnacentral:rRNA from 1 species